AUUACUAGAUGCAUGUGUAAAUGAUAUUCACAAAGUGCAUUUUAAUGUGAUUCACAACCGAUAUUGAUGUAAUUUUCAAUCGCGUGUUUUAAAUUGAAAUUUUAAUGAUCAUUAUAGUAUUAGAAGCCACUUUACUAAGUUUCUUAAAGGGAUCUUUUCACGCUUUGGUAAAUUGACAAAAUUGAAAAAAGUUGUUUCAGAUUCGCAAAUUUUCGUUUUAGUUAUGAUAUUUGUGAGGAAACAGUAAUACUGAACAUUUACCAUGGUCUAAUAUAGCCAUUAUAUGCAUCUUUUGAAGAUUUUAAAACCUAAAAAUUAUAAAGCGUUGCAACGCGAAACGAUUGAAUAAUUUGGAGAGUUCUGUUUUUGUCGUUAAAUUUUGUGAAACUACGAAGAUUGCUUAUAUAAGGUAUAAAAUACGUCCAGUAUGUGUACACGGCGGAAUAGCUCAGUAGGCUAAAGCGUUUUUACUUCAGUACUCUGGCAGGACUCCAGGGGUCACUGGUUCGAAACCUGCUCCGGGCAAUGUUCUUUUCCUUUUUUAAAUUUUAUUCUUGAUUUUUUACUGGAGCUUAUACGAUCCAAUGUUUACAUUUAUCAAUAUAAAGCAUUUAAUGAAUAAGUUAAAAAAUGCCAAAAUCUGUGAAAAGGCCCCUUUAAUUGGCGGUAUACCGUAUUAUAUUAAUAUUGCGAAUGUUCGAAUAUAACUGGUUGUAUAUGUAGACAUGUGUUAUUUUAAUAAAUGUCUUUAAUACGGGUGAUGUAAGGUAAAUCAUGCAGUUGUUUUCUAUUAAAACACAAAGCCGACUGAAUGUAAUAAACCUUUCACCCGAUCCGAUUACUUGUAAAAUGAGCUGAAGUUCAAGGUUUUAUGAAAACAGCAAUUGAGGUUUGGCGUGUUAAUUUCAGGCCGAUACAUUUCAAGGAAUGAUACUGCAACGCGUAUACACGUCGCUUCAUUACUGUGAACGAGCGCGAUAUAUAUAGACAUACAUAUAGGACUUAGUUAAAUCGACGUUUAAUACGAAUACGAUUGCAUGUAAAUAUUUUGCUGAAUGUUUAAUGAACGGUGGUAUUACACAUAAAUGUUUUUUAAAUGGUCGCUUCGCGACCGUCUAAGGUGGUUAGUCUAAAAUUCAGGUCGAUACGGCUUAGCUACUAGGAGCCCAAUACCCGCUUACUACGCGUAUCCGCGCGAGAAAGAGUUGUAUAAUUUAUGUAAAAGGUUUGAGUUCUCCAAUUAUAUUCAUUCACAAAUAGAAACAUGAUAUUAAUAUCGUGUUAAAUGCAAUAGUUUCGAACGGUGCUUUUAUAGAAAAGAAUCAUUAAACAAUGAUCGUAUUGUAAGUGUCGCGGAGGAGAUUGUUUAUGAAGGAAUAAAAUAGUCCACUUUCUGCAGCGUCUUCAUGACGUAGUAUUUUUGUUCAGUGCAUUCAUAAUAUGAGGCUAUUUAGAUGCGCCUGUCGAUAAACAAAGGAAAGUCCACGGGCGAUAACAGCGCAAUAGGUUACGCUCUCACAUACACCUCAAUGACGUAGUACAAGUCGUAAAUUGAGGCUAUUAAUAGUUCCGGGAAAAAGUUAACGCUUAUUUAUAUUCUCAAUUUAUAAAACAUUAAACAUAAGUUCAACAAUAACUUCAGCUAUACGAUAGGCAAAAACAAACACAAAUGUUUCAUAAUCGCUAAACCCGAAUAUAACAAACAAUUUAUAAUAAUAAUACGAAUGACCUGUUUCGUAACCUCGUUCAUGCUACUACAGUGGGUAUUUUUGGAAAACGUUCUUUGGUUCUCAACAGAUAGCGGCGAUCUUUUGUAUUAACGGGUGCUAGCAACGCAAUAGUAGAAGGUUAGUAGAAGGUUUAGCUUGUUUAUAUUCACAGUUCUCAAUACAUAGACAGUUGGAUAUGAGUUAAUCAAUUACUACAGGCAUACUAUAGGCAAUCUCGAAAAUGCUUUAUAAUCGCUAAAACCGAAAACAACUAAAUAUAUUAUUUUAAAUAUAUUUAAUACAAUAAAUAUCUUUUAAAAUGUAGUCGGCGUAUACGCUGACUUUGAUAUAAAGUUUGCAAUUUACUUUUCUUAAUAAAUAAAUACAAUUAAACAAAAGUUA